AGAUGAGAAGACCCCAUGGAGCUUUAAUUAACCUUCACACCCCCACCACCCCCCAAAAAACCCAAAAUGAAGCCACUAAGGAAUAACAAAACUUUUACUGGGUUAAUAAUUUUGGUUGGGGUACCCUCGGAGAAAAAAAUCCUCUGAGUGAUUUUUAAAGCCUAGAGCUACCAGUCAAAUCACAUUGUCACUUAUUGAUCCAAGAAAUUAAUCAACAGAACAAGUUACCCUAGGGAUAACAGCAAAACCUUAUUUUAGAGUUUAUAUUGACAAUAAGGUUUAUGACUCUGGUGUUGGAUCAGGACACCCCAGUAGAGUAACCACUAUUAAAGUUUCAUUUGUUCAAUGAUUAGAGUCCUAUGUGAUUUGAGUUUGACCAGAGUAAUCCAGGGCAGUUUCUAUUU
rnacentral:ncRNA from 1 species